rnacentral:tRNA from 1 species
GGGCCGUUAGCUCAGUUGGCUAGAGCACCUGCUCGACACGCAGGGGGUCACUGGUUCAAGUCCAGUACGGCCCA